rnacentral:rRNA from 1 species
UAGUUUGACUGGGGCGGUCUCCUCCUAAAGAGUAACGGAGGAGCACGAAGGUUGGCUAAUCCUGGUCGGACAUCAGGAGGUUAGUGCAAUGGCAUAAGCCAGCUUGACUGCGAGCGUGACGGCGCGAGCAGGUGCGAAAGCAGGUCAUAGUGAUCCGGUGGUUCUGAAUGGAAGGGCCAUCGCUCAACGGAUAAAAGGUACUCCGGGGAUAACAGGCUGAUACCGCCCAAGAGUUCAUAUCGACGGCGGUGUUUGGCACCUCGAUGUCGGCUCAUCACAUCCUGGGGCUGAAGUAGGUCCCAAGGGUAUGGCUGUUCGCCAUUUAAAGUGGUACGCGAGCUGGGUUUAGAACGUCGUGAGACAGUUCGGUCCCUAUCUGCCGUGGGCGCUGGAGAACUGAGGGGGGCUGCUCCUAGUACGAGAGGACCGGAGUGGACGCAUCACUGGUGUUCGGGUUGUCAUGCCAAUGGCACUGCCCGGUAGCUAAAUGCGGAAGAGAUAAGUGCUGAAAGCAUCUAAGCACGAAACUUGCCCCGAGAUGAGUUCUCCCUGAGACUUUAGGUCUCCUGAAGGAACGUUGAAGACGACGACGUUGAUAGGCCGGGUGUGUAAGCGCAGCGAUGCGUUGAGCUAACCGGUACUAAUGAACCGUGAGGCUUAACCUUACAACGCCGAAG